UACAGAGGGGGCAAGCGUUGUUCGGAAUUACUGGGCGUAAAGGGCGCGUAGGCGGCCUGCUAAGUCGAACGUGAAAUCCCUGGGCUCAACCCAGGAACUGCGUCCGAUACUGGUUGGCUUGAAUCCGGGAGAGGGACGUGGAAUUCCAGGUGUAGCGGUGAAAUGCGUAGAUAUCGGGAGGAACACCAGUGGCGAAGGCGGCUUCCUGGCCUGUUCUUGACGCUGAGGCGCGAAAGCUAGGGGAGCAAACGGG
rnacentral:rRNA from 1 species